AAUAUAUAUAAUAAAAAAUAUAUUAUAUAAGUUUUUAUCUACUUUUCCUUAUUUUUCAACCAAACAACGCCCAUCAUCGAAAACUACUUUUUUUUUUUCUACAAACCAAAUACUACACCAUGGAAAAUAUUUUUUCCACGGAAAAUUUUUUUCCACCGAAAAUUUUUUUUCGCAGUUCUACGUCAAACCAAACAGCCCCUUAGUAAUUAACCGGUUAAAUUUUGACUUUUCUAUUAUAAAUUGACCGUCCUAUAAU
rnacentral:lncRNA from 1 species